rnacentral:misc_RNA from 1 species
GUAGGUGAACCUGCGGAGGGAUCAUUACUGAAAGGUGCUAUGCCCUCGCCCUCCCGCCUGCGGCAACGCCGGCGGGUUGCGCCGGGGCUCCAUCCAUUCAAACCCCAUGUUAUCCGACACUGUUGCCUCGGGGGCGACCUGGCCCUACGGUCGGGGCCCCCGGCGGACCGUCAAACACUGUAUCUGUGCGUCCGAGUCCAAUGAUAAAUCAAUCAAAACUUUCAACAACGGAUCUCUUGGUUCUG